GUCCGGUCCGUGCAGCGUCGCUGAGCGGCCGUGGAACGGGCGGGGAGGCGCCACCGCCGCGGGGAGAGAGCAGCGCUGCGGCGCGGGACGGAAAAGUCAGGCCCUUUUUGGUGUCCUGGAUCACUCUACAACUCGGGGUGGAAGUUGAAGACUCAGAUCCAAUAUCCCACAGGCACAGCUGAUGCUGAACCCAGGAGCCCAGGUUGUGCUCAGGAGUUACUCCAAGAUGAGGAGUUUUGAAGACUAUUGGUCUUCAAGCAGGUGACAGUAGCAGCAGAACACUGGGCCAGUGCAGGGGGAAGGAAGAGGGAAAGGACAGGAUACCUUCAGAGCAGCCUGAAAAGCAGCAACGAGCUCUGGGAGGACUACAGAGUGCCACAUUCUGUAACAGGUGUAUCUGUGUGUGUAUUGCCAUUACUUGUUUGGGUCGGGGUUGUUUUCACUUCUGAGCUCCUGCAGUGAGAAGAGCUCGAGCAAAUGGUGCAAUCCAUGCAGACCUGUAGAAUCCUUGAGCUCCAAGGGUGCUCCUGCCAUCCCCUGCCCACCCCUAAAAUGCCAAAUACAUUUGGCAGCGGGAUGGAGGAAUCCCAGCACGCUGCUUCCUC
rnacentral:lncRNA from 1 species